UGCUAAUCUGCGAUAAGCGUCGGUAAGGUGAUAUGAACCGUUAUAACCGGCGAUUUCCGAAUGGGGAAACCCAGUGUGUUUCGACACACUAUCAUUAACUGAAUCCAUAGGUUAAUGAGGCGAACCGGGGGAACUGAAACAUCUAAGUACCCCGAGGAAAAGAAAUCAACCGAGAUUCCCCCAGUAGCGGCGAGCGAACGGGGAGCAGCCCAGAGCCUGAAUCAGUGUGUGUGUUAGUGGAAGCGUCUGGAAAGGCGUGCGAUACAGGGUGACAGCCCCGUACACAAAAAUGCACAUGCUGUGAGCUCGAUGAGUAGGGCGGGACACGUGGUAUCCUGUCUGAAUAUGGGGGGACCAUCCUCCAAGGCUAAAUACUCCUGACUGACCGAUAGUGAACCAGUACCGUGAGGGAAAGGCGAAAAGAACCCCGGCGAGGGGAGUGAAAAAGAACCUGAAACCGUGUACGUACAAGCAGUGGGAGCACGCUUAGGCGUGUGACUGCGUACCUUUUGUAUAAUGGGUCAGCGACUUAUAUUCUGUAGCAAGGUUAACCGAAUAGGGGAGCCGAAGGGAAACCGAGUCUUAACUGGGCGUUAAGUUGCAGGGUAUAGACCCGAAACCCGGUGAUCUAGCCAUGGGCAGGUUGAAGGUUGGGUAACACUAACUGGAGGACCGAACCGACUAAUGUUGAAAAAUUAGCGGAUGACUUGUGGCUGGGGGUGAAAGGCCAAUCAAACCGGGAGAUAGCUGGUUCUCCCCGAAAGCUAUUUAGGUAGCGCCUCGUGAAUUCAUCUCCGGGGGUAGAGCACUGUUUCGGCAAGGGGGUCAUCCCGACUUACCAACCCGAUGCAAACUGCGAAUACCGGAGAAUGUUAUCACGGGAGACACACGGCGGGUGCUAACGUCCGUCGUGAAGAGGGAAACAACCCAGACCGCCAGCUAAGGUCCCAAAGUCAUGGUUAAGUGGGAAACGAUGUGGGAAGGCCCAGACAGCCAGGAUGUUGGCUUAGAAGCAGCCAUCAUUUAAAGAAAGCGUAAUAGCUCACUGGUCGAGUCGGCCUGCGCGGAAGAUGUAACGGGGCUAAACCAUGCACCGAAGCUGCGGCAGCGACGCUUAUGCGUUGUUGGGUAGGGGAGCGUUCUGUAAGCCUGCGAAGGUGUGCUGUGAGGCAUGCUGGAGGUAUCAGAAGUGCGAAUGCUGACAUAAGUAACGAUAAAGCGGGUGAAAAGCCCGCUCGCCGGAAGACCAAGGGUUCCUGUCCAACGUUAAUCGGGGCAGGGUGAGUCGACCCCUAAGGCGAGGCCGAAAGGCGUAGUCGAUGGGAAACAGGUUAAUAUUCCUGUACUUGGUGUUACUGCGAAGGGGGGACGGAGAAGGCUAUGUUGGCCGGGCGACGGUUGUCCCGGUUUAAGCGUGUAGGCUGGUUUUCCAGGCAAAUCCGGAAAAUCAAGGCUGAGGCGUGAUGACGAGGCACUACGGUGCUGAAGCAACAAAUGCCCUGCUUCCAGGAAAAGCCUCUAAGCAUCAGGUAACAUCAAAUCGUACCCCAAACCGACACAGGUGGUCAGGUAGAGAAUACCAAGGCGCUUGAGAGAACUCGGGUGAAGGAACUAGGCAAAAUGGUGCCGUAACUUCGGGAGAAGGCACGCUGAUAUGUAGGUGAAGUCCCUCGCGGAUGGAGCUGAAAUCAGUCGAAGAUACCAGCUGGCUGCAACUGUUUAUUAAAAACACAGCACUGUGCAAACACGAAAGUGGACGUAUACGGUGUGACGCCUGCCCGGUGCCGGAAGGUUAAUUGAUGGGGUCAGCGCAAGCGAAGCUCUUGAUCGAAGCCCCGGUAAACGGCGGCCGUAACUAUAACGGUCCUAAGGUAGCGAAAUUCCUUGUCGGGUAAGUUCCGACCUGCACGAAUGGCGUAAUGAUGGCCAGGCUGUCUCCACCCGAGACUCAGUGAAAUUGAACUCGCUGUGAAGAUGCAGUGUACCCGCGGCAAGACGGAAAGACCCCGUGAACCUUUACUAUAGCUUGACACUGAACAUUGAGCCUUGAUGUGUAGGAUAGGUGGGAGGCUUUGAAGUGUGGACGCCAGUCUGCAUGGAGCCGACCUUGAAAUACCACCCUUUAAUGUUU
rnacentral:rRNA from 1 species